rnacentral:lncRNA from 1 species
AUGCGUAACUACAUCUGUGUGCAAGUUGGGGUUCGGCCCCAGAGACGCCUCAGCUGUAUGAAGGGCAGAAGAGCAGCCCCUUUUGGAAAGCAGACCGUCCCUCGCAUCAGCAGGGAAAAGAUGGAGCUGGAGCUCCACGGAAGCGUGGUCCAGCUGCAGACGUGUGUCUUACGGAGGGACUGUCACAUUAUCCACCUCGGCAAGCGGGCGGCUGAGGUCACGGCUGCCACACAGGUUGAGCUGGGGCAAGGAGACACAUCAGACCAAAUUAUGGAGGAGAGCUUCUGCUGUGAAACUCCCAUGAGAAAGAAUGAACACGAGAAGCAACUCCCCAGCCGCUCCCAAGGGCUAAUUGCUGAGAGUAAUGAACUGAGAGACACGCAGGGAAGGCCCAAACGAGUCAUUAGCCCUCGGUGGGAGGAGGACUGGUGCCCUCCCUGCAGCUGGGUUCAGGCGGAGGCCUGGGCUUCCCGUGGGGCAGGGGCUGCUACGUGGCAGCCCGGUGACACCCACCUGGGCGCGGUGCUGGUACCUGCCCUGGGCCGGGCUGGCAAUGCGUGCAGGACAUCAGGGCAGACCAGGGCUGCCAGCUGUGAAUCUGGGGCUGGAGGAUGCCCUGCCAUGGCACCAGGAUGGCCCCGAUACCCCUGGUGUCCCCUAAGGCUGAAGGCAGAGGAGGGUGCAGCUCCCGAGCAGCUUUGCACAAGGGCAGCAGCAGUUCCCGAACCACACGGCACCACGAUGUGUCCGUGGACAACUGGGUGCUUUCCCUUAGGGAAAGCAGGGAGUGAGCAAGGGAGAAACCGACCACCUAGCAACCCCGAGGCACCCAGCGGGCCCUGGAGCUGGAUGCUGUGCAGCCAUCAGGAACCUGCUCCACGCUCCCACAGGCUGCGUCAGCACAGGGCUGCCCUGUGUGUCCCUGGGUGCCCUGCUGUGCCCGGACAGGGGACCGAGGUGGCCCGACCUGGGGCAGGGCUGAGAGAGACCACAGUGCCCCUGGUCUCCGCUGGCUGA